rnacentral:rRNA from 1 species
GCAGGAAUCUCAACCACCCUCAAUGUGCCAAAUCUCACCUGAUCUCAUCAACUAAGCAGGGUCGGGCCUGGUUAGUACUUGGAUGGGAGACCACCUGGGAUACCAGGUGCUGUA